rnacentral:rRNA from 1 species
AGAGGGUGCAAGCGUUAAUCGGAAUUACUGGGCGUAAAGCGCGCGUAGGUGGUUUGUUAAGUUGGAUGUGAAAGCCCCGGGCUCAACCUGGGAACUGCAUCCAAAACUGGCAAGCUAGAGUACGGUAGAGGGUGGUGGAAUUUCCUGUGUAGCGGUGAAAUGCGUAGAUAUAGGAAGGAACACCAGUGGCGAAGGCGACCACCUGGACUGAUACUGACACUGAGGUGCGAAAGCGUGGGGAAG